CAUGCAGUCAUUGAUUUGAGAUCUCUCAAAAAAUUUUGAUGUAGAGCCAGCACUGUAAACUUCCUCUUAGGAAUCACCUUUAUUGUGCCCCAUGGAUUUUGGUAUAUUGUGUUUUCAUUUUCACUAUUUUAGGAAUUUUUAAAUUUCCUUCUUGAUUUUUUUUUUCAGUGACCAAUUAUCAUCCAGUACCAUGGAUUUUCGUCUCUAUGGGUUUAUAUACUUCCUUUAGUUUUUACUGGAGUUCUUUAGGCCAGUUUUACCCAGAUAGACAUCUCUUUCUAUUGGUUUGGGAAAUUUUCUUCUUUGGUUUUUACUGAAAAUAUUCUCUGCGUCUUUAUUAUGCAUUUUUCCUUUCUGUGACCAUAAUCUGAAGUCAGGGUCUUUUUUUAGAAUUUUGAUUUUAUUAGUUGUUUAAUUUUUCUAACUCACUAGAAUUCUUUGGUCACAUCUUAAUGGAAGCCAUUGUGACAUUCCUGACGAGGCAAAUGGAGUUUUAUGCUACUGUAAUUUAGGACUAAGUGUAAACCAGGUGGAAGCUGGGAUGGGAGGCCAGGAGUUCAAGGCCAGCCUUGUCUGCGACGUUUGAGGGCAGCUUUUCCCUCCAAGCCUAAGAAAGCUAAAAUGUGCCUUCAGAUGUCAAGAUGCCUAUUGUCAAAGGCUGCAACCAAAGUCAGUGUAGUUAAGUUAUGAGAUUGAAACACAUGGGGUGGACUCAAUCGUGCUGUUUGUUGUUGUGGUCUGUAAUUUGAAUUAAAAAACCAAACCUAACACUCGAUGCAGAAAAGGGGACAGGCUUACGUGACUGUAGCAGAAAAAUGAAUAGCCAACCUAAGGGGAGGUGUGGGCUCUGGGGAGGAGACUGGAGCUUCCCAGCUGCACCUAUGUACCUGUCUGUCUGUCUCUCUGUCGCAAAGAUUGGUAGAAAGGCGAGUUAGGAAGAGCUGCAGGCUGAAUGAUAGCUUCUUUGUUGAUGCAGGACAAAUUUGGAAGUUUGAGGUAAAUAAGGCUUAACAGAAAUGCGUGCCUGUUACUUACCCUUUCUGAAUGUACUUCAGAUAACUGUGACAUGGGAAAGAGAGGAAUGGGCUGCUUGCAACUAGUAGCUGCCAGAUUUUCUUGAUUGGAAUUUGCUUCAGAGUAGAGAACCACAUGAGCAUUUGCUUAAGACUUGCCCAUGACCAGAAUUUAGAUUAUCCCUAUAGUUAUUAUAAAUAUUUAAUCAUAGCGUAUUACUUUAAAGCACAAGUCUGUGAACUUUCGAGUCAAGCCAAUAUAACUUACUAACAUUUGUCUAGAGUUUAAACUUAGUUGGCCCUCAUAUAAAGUUCUAGAAGAUGAGCUGGCUUAAAUAUGUGCUGGCUACUCCUAUUGCCAGAAGAAAGGUAGACCUUAAGUUGUAUCACAGAAUUAAAGUAUGCCAUUUGAUACACACAGCAGACAGAUGUGAAACACCCAACAGGAAUGUUGAUGCAGAUGCUGCUUGCUAACUUAGGAGCUGUGUUUAACUUCGGUGUUUAUGAAUGGAAUUAAAACCCGUAAGCUGCUUGUCUUAGUUAUACCAUAGGGAGAGCUGACUCCAGUGUAACUAACUGCCAGCAAGAUUUCUGAAGUUUACAUCACAGCUCCAGCUAACUGAAGUACUGCCUAAGAGGCUUUUGGUCAUUUUGACCUUUGAAAAUAACCCAAGACAUGUUUGGGAUCAGAGUAUACCCCUGUGUUCCAAGAGAACAGUGAAUUUCAAGACUCAUGUAGGAUUUUUAAAAUCAUGCUUGGUCCUGAAGUUUAGAGGUUAGUGAUGCAGAGCGGAGAAUACUUGGGGUUCUUGGUGGGGUUUGAGUCCCAUGGUCUUUUGCUGUCCUUCCUGGUGGAAGCAGCAGCCCUACUGCCUUGGGUUGGCUGGGACCCCUUCUGUGUACUUGGCUUUGCCAUCUAGGGCUCAGGCACAUUCUGUAUUGGUUGGAUGAACCAAUGCUUGCUUUCACUGGAGAAUCCGGUCAGUUCCCGUAUACUUCAGCACUACUGUUGAAACCAGUUCUGAAAACUCUUGUUUUUUUUUUUAAUUAUCAGAUCGUUGUUGUGACUCAACAUUGUACUUUGCUUUUUUUGCCCUGGUAUGUAUGAAUGUACAAAUAUAUGUGUAUAUAAGUAACAAAGUUAAAAUCUUGUUUAACUUCAUUAAUGUCAUUAACUUAAAUAUAAAAAUAAAUUUAAUCAUAAUUUCAGAAAGUGAACAAAAUAUUCUAUUUUGGCUUGUAGAUCAAACUUGGAGUUCAAUGAUUGUUACUGUUCUAGCCUUUAAAAGGAUAGAAAGGGGACCCUUCCAGGGAGCCUGGAGCUCUGAUCCUGUGUACAAAUGUGUGCGCUUUCAGCUUUCAGACAUAAAGUUGCUUCUGAUGCUGUGUGUUUUAGUGUCACGUUAGAGGUUUCAGUUCAUGAUCAUUUGUUCAUUCACAUGUGUUUUUAUUUUUAGCUCUAAGCAAAAGACAUGAGGCCUCAGCUGAAAUGAGGUGGUUUUGAGGUCAUCCGAUUUCUAGACGUGUGCGGUCACCUGGUCCUGAAAGUCCUCCACACAGAAUGGUUUGCAAUUUUUUUUGGUGAUGGCAUGUUCAGAAUCUUGGAUCCCUAAGUUGAAUAUUGGAAAUAUGUAGGAGCCUUGGAAAUUAUGUUGUUUUCAUAUUUUAAUGUUUUUGUGGGUGAAUCAGUAGAUUAAUAAAUGUAUGUAAAAGAACUCUGUACUUGUAAGCUGACAGGUGUGUUUCAGGACUGUCGCCUGCGUCCUACGCUCUGGAGACAGUCUGCUUCGGAGGUUCUCUGUGGACCUCUCGUGGUCUGGGCAGUGGGCUUUCUCCUGUCAUGUUUUAGUUAGCUGGGUUUCCUUCCUGCCUACGUUGCAAUGUGAGCUCCUUAGAUUGCAGGCAUCAUUGAUCAGGGGUUAAGAAGAGAAGAGAAAUCAUCUUAUAACAAUCUUAAAUGCAGCAUUACAGAAUUUCUACCUGGAAAUCACCUCACAAGAUCUGUUUUAGAAAUACGUAGACUUAAAAAAAACAAAAAACAAAAAACCAGAAAAACAAAAAACAAAUAUAUGUAUGGCCAAAUGCUGCCUGUCCUUAAAAUUAGACAGUAUUGUCGAUCAGAGGUGCUCACACUGAGGGAGUAAGGCCGUUCACUUUCACCUCCUUCCUGUGUUCCUCUCGUCAGGUGGGUGACCUAGUGGGAAGGGGUCGGUGGUCUGUGUAAAGGGAGAAA